UACAGAGGUCCCAAGCGUUGUUCGGAUUCACUGGGCGUAAAGGGUGCGCAGGUGGGUUUGCAAGUUCGAUGUGAAAGCCCCGGGCUUAACCCGGGAAUGGCAUUGGAUACUGCAGAUCUGGAGGAUCGGAGGGGGGACUGGAAUUCUUGGUGUAGCAGUGAAAUGCGUAGAUAUCAGGAGGAACACCGGUGGCGAAGGCGGGAUCCUGGGCCAGUACUGACGCUGAGGAGCGAAAGCGUGGGGAGCAAACAGG
rnacentral:rRNA from 1 species